UGGGGAAUAUUGCACAAUGGGCGCAAGCCUGAUGCAGCCAUGCCGCGUGUGUGAAGAAGGCCUUCGGGUUGUAAAGCACUUUCAGCGAGGAGGAAGGUGGUGAACUUAAUACGUUCACCAAUUGACGUUACUCGCAGAAGAAGCACCGGCUAACUCCGUGCCAGCAGCCGCGGUAAUACGGAGGGUGCAAGCGUUAAUCGGAAUUACUGGGCGUAAAGCGCACGCAGGCGGUUUGUUAAGUCAGAUGUGAAAUCCCCAGGCUCAACCUGGGAACUGCAUUUGAGACUGGCAAGCUAGAGUCUCGUAGAGGGGGGUAGAAUUCCAGGUGUAGCGGUGAAAUGCGUAGAGAUCUGGAGGAAUACCGGUGGCGAAGGCGGCCCCCUGGACGAAGACUGACGCUCAGGUGCGAAAGCGUGGGGCAGCAAACAGGAUUAGAUACCCUGGUAGUCCAGCGCUGUAAACGAUGUCGAUUUUGGAGGUUGUGCCCUUGAGGCGUGGCUUCCGGAGCUAACGCGUUAAAUCGACCGCCUGGGGAGUACGGCCGCAAGGUUAAAGCUCAAGGAAUUGACGGGGUCAUAGCUGUUU
rnacentral:rRNA from 1 species